rnacentral:rRNA from 1 species
AACGAACGCUGGCGGCAUGCCUAACACAUGCAAGUCGAACGAGACCUUCGGGUCUAGUGGCGCACGGGUGCGUAACGCGUGGGAACCUGCCCUUAGGUUCGGAAUAACUCCCCGAAAGGGGUGCUAAUACCGGAUAAUGUCUUCGGACCAAAGAUUUAUCGCCUUUGGAUGGGCCCGCGUUGGAUUAGCUAGUUGGUAGGGUAAAAGCCUACCAAGGCGACGAGCGAUAGCUGGUCUGAGAGGAUGAUCAGCCACACUGGGACUGAGACACGGCCCAGACUCGUACGAGAGGCAGCAGGGGGGAAUUGUGCACAAUGGGCGCAAGCCUGAGCGAGCAAUGCCGCGUGGAGGAAGAAGGCUUUCGGGUUGUAAACUGAUGCUGUACGGAAGGAAACGGCUCUGGGUAAUACCCGGGGCUAAUGACGGGACCGAAAGAACAAGCACCGGCUAACUACGUG